GCCAGGCCUUGAAGCUGCAAGGCAUUUCAAUGCUAAUCAAGGUGAUUAAUUGCAACAUUCACACUUGCCUCCAACAGAUAAGAGUUGUCUCCCACCCUGGACCUUCCACAGAAGAUAAUGCUUCUGGAACAUGGCCAUACAGCCCGGAAAACUCACAGCAACCCAGUGAUUCCGGCCAUGAAAGCUUUCGACAAGACAUUAAUGUCAAACGAUAUUCAUCCUACAAGGUAGAUACACCGGAAGGCUCUUGCAGCGUAACCAGCACCACCCAGCAGCAAAGAGGCGAUGGGGACUCGCCCCGCCCACUCUCGUUACGUCACAGCUGAUGGGCAGUCCCCAUUCUCUUCAGCGUUUCCGUCGGGGACAGCCAUUGCGCAAGACCAUGGGGGGGGGAGAGAGAGAGAGAGAGAGAGAGAGAUGCCUGAGCGCGCAUGCGCAGUCCCACCCGCGGCCUGUUCCGGAAAGCGGCAAGGAAGCCUCGGCGAGUGAGUGGCGAGAGCCCCGCGGGUGUGGUUUCCGGGGCUGGGGACGCUGCCAUGUCGGUGCAGGAGGACCCGGUCCAGCGCGAAAUCCACCAGGACUGGGCCAACCGCGAGUACAUCGAGGUCAUCACCAGCUCCAUCAAGAAGAUCGCGGACUUCCUCAAUUCCUUCGACAUGUCGUGCCGCUCUCGCCUGGCCACGCUCAACGAGAAGCUGACCGCGCUGGAGAGGCGGAUCGAGUACAUCGAGGCCCGGGUAACGAAAGGUGAAACGCUGACAUAAAUAUGCUGGAGGCUGGCAGGGAGCCAGCCUGGAAAGGAAUGUGCAGCUCUUCACAAAGCUGAUGCUCAGACAUUAAGUUUCUUCAUUACUUAAUACAGAUGAGAGUUAUGCUUGUUUCUGCCCCUCGGGAAGCUGCACCCUCCCCCCCCAAAAAAUUUGGAGCCUGUGACUUUAUGUGGGUGAUUCCAGAUGAAACUGCAAAAUUGUACAGCUGCAUGUUUAAAUAUGUGGGUUUUAUACAAGCUGAUUCAUGCAAGCUAUCUUAUCCCCCCAUGCUUGUGAAGCUGCCUUGCUUUGCAGCAACCAAAUCUUUGUGAAACCAAAUCUUUGUUUCUAGGACCACAAUUUUAUUACGGUUAUAAUUUUGGAUUUAAACAGAUUAGGGUGUUGGAGACUGUUCCUAGUGGACAGCUAUGUAGCAGUUUCAAGUAUACAUGAUAAAUAUUUUGCAGAUAGCUUUUGUUGCUGGAAGAUAUCAAAUGGCUUUUUGUGUUGCAGCUGUUCAGUAAAAUACAUGUGCAGUGUAUAUGGGGAUAGGGGUGGGGAGAAAACCAUGUGCCAAGGGAGGGGUUAACUCAGUUUUCUAAGUAUUUUUUAUUCUGUAAUGCAACUUGGGACGUCUUUUCCAUUUGUGUUUCAACAAUAAAAACAUCUCUGGAUAGCAUGUAGUAGUUUGGAGCCUUGCUGUAGAUGAUGUGAGCACCAAAGAGAGGCUUGGCAGAUGCCAUCAUUCUCUAAUGCAGUGAUCCCCAACCCCAAAUGUUUUGGCCUUCAACUCUCAGAAAUCCUAACAGCUGGUAAACUGGCUGGGAUUUAUGGGAGUUGUAGGCCAGAACACCUGGGGACCCACGGGUUGAGAACCACUGCCAUAAUGGUUCACAUGCUUGUCUGUUGCUCUUUCUUUCAGAGUUCCUAUAUGUUUUGUGAAGUUUAUAGAGUAGCUGUUUUGCCACCUGCUGCUGAUGAGAUAAAGGAGAUAUAUGGUUUUGAUAUGAGGAUUCUUAUAUUUUAUUUUUAUAUGAUGAAUUAAUAUAUUUCCAUAGCAUUACCAGUUUGCAAGGAUGAGGAUUUUCUCUAUUCCAGGUCAGGCCUUAUAUGAUUAAUCCCACUACAUAAUGAUUCUUUCAAGCACACAAUUUCUCAAUCUGGUAGUGGUGAAAAAGGGCAUUCCAACCAUCAUCACUUAGCUCAUUGACUUGUAAAUUAUGAAUAAUUAAGUAAAUUUUGCUGGUAUCAGCAAGAGGGCUGGAGCAGUGCAUCCUUACAGAUACUGCUCAGCUGCAACUCCUCUUAGCCUACCAGCAUAACCAACCGUGAGGGAUUUAUGUGGAGUCCGCUUGUUCUAGCAGUGGUGAGUAACUUCCAGCACUUCAGAAGCUGAAUUUCCACCUCUGGCAGUGAUAGUGGACUGCAUGAGAUAUGGAAAUAUUAAAAAUAAAAACACUCAAAAUAUGAAAAAUACUGUUGCUUUUUUGAUGCAGGAACCUUGGAGGAGGGGCUGAUGGGCUGCCAAAGUAAAUUUGGUAGCUGUGCUCAACCUUCUUUUGGUUUUGAAUAACUAAAAGCUUUUGAAAGCUUGCUUUAGCUGUGAUCCUGUCUCAUUCAGCUAAGCUUACAGCUUCUGCAGGUGACAAACACGUUUUGAAAUAAGGUCAGUUUUGUAACAAUGAAGCUCAUCAACCACAAAUAAAACAAUAUGGGAAAAUAUAUCAGAAGACUACAUUCCUGUGAUGCCUCAACAGCAAUAAACUUCAGUGAACAGCAGUAGACCUUACCUUUGAGUAGGCAUGCAAAUGAAUAUGCUGAUGGUUUACUUGCACUUCUAACAAGGCUAAUACAAGAAAAUACAGUGUUUACUUUUUAUUGUUAACAUAUAUAGUAAGGAGGGGAAGUCCAUAUGUGAUAAGAGACAGUGUUCUUACGUUAUUUCUUCCAUUUGAUGGGAAUAUAAAAUGUACUGUGGCGUUUUCUGUUGUGGGGUUAAGACCCCAUGGGGCUGCCUAUUGGAGGUACACAAGGCCAUGCAUUUCAUUCCACCUCCAUUGCUCUGGGGAAGGAAGGACAACUGCUUUGGAGCUAUUAAUUGCAGUAAUGCUACGUAGUAAUUACUGUAUUUACGAAUUUAGCACCAAAAUAUCACGAUGUAUUGAAAAAAUCAACUACAAAAAUGCGUUGGAUAAUCCAGAACGUUGGAUAAGCGAGUGUUGGAUAAGUGAGACUACUGUAUUUCCGUAAAAGGUAAGAGAUUCAUGGAAAUAUAUAGGAUUCAUGUUAAGUAAACCUAUCUAAUUCAUAUCAUGGAUGCUAAACUUAUUCCCAUCUGGGAGCAUGAGUGGUAACAGAAAGAAAAGCUUUCAGUGAGCUUAGCAGUUAUACUUCGUAUUUUUGAAAAUCAUUCCAUCACAUUUAUGCGAAUGUACACAAUAAACGAUGUCUCCAACUUGCCUCCCUAAAAAUAAAAAAUAAAAUUUUUCAAAACAAAAGAAAAAGAAGCUACCCACAAGUAAUGAAAUCCAUGAGGUUCAAUAUUGAAAUCAGGAAGUAUCUGCCAAGUUAAAGUUUCUAUACAGUGUUUUUUUGAAUUGCUGGUCAUUGGUAAAAUAUAAUUGCAAGGAUCUUAGGAUAGGGCAAGGCAAGUUGUGGGCAGCCUAAUAGACAUAACGGCGAGAGAGAACACUGCCCACCUGCAUCUUGGACUACACUUAAUAUGACACCAGUAGCUUCACAGUAGAUGUGUGGAUGGAAUGGCAUUCCUAUUCAAUCCAAAGCCUGAUUAUAGAGGAAGAACUUCACCAGAGCUGGAUGAGAGUGGGUUACGAUGCAUAUCAAGAAAGAGUUAAAGGAUAUUGGAAGGAUGUGUGGAAAAUGACAUGCAGUGAUUUGAUAGAUACGCUAUGAAACCUGGCCAAGGG
rnacentral:lncRNA from 11 species